rnacentral:rRNA from 1 species
UUGAUUACGUCCCUGCCCUUUGUACACACCGCCCGUCGCUGCCCGGGACUGAGCCAUUUCGAGAAACUUGGAGACUGUUGAUCUAAUUUUUUUAAGUUACUUUGAUGGAAACCAAUUUAAUCGCAGUGGCUUGAACCGGGCAAAAGUCGUAACAAGGUAGCUGUAGGUGAACCUGCUGCUGGAUCAUUACUUUUUGUGAUGUUCAAAUUCGAAUAGUCUCAACGUUUAUCGUUGUGAACGGCUGUCGCUGGUGUCUAGGUGUUGCUGAUUCAGCUGUCAACGUCCGUGGCUGAAUAUGAGGUGACAUGUUAGGACCUUAAUCGGGUUUAAGACUUAAUGAGCCUCUUAAGUGAGGACGCCAGCAAUAUUUUUUUCAACUAUUUUUUUUAAAAAACGAAAAUUUCUAUCCUUAUCGGUGGAUCACUCGGCUCGUGGAUCCAUGAAGAACGCAGCUAACUGCGAUAAUUUGUGCGAACUGCAGAAACAUUGAGCAUAAAAGUUUUGAAUGCAAAUUGCGGCACUGGGGUAGAACCCUUUGCCACGUCUGGUUCAGGGUCAUUUUUCUAUAAAGUAUAAAUUUUAUUUUAUUUUGCCAUUGGCACUAUAACUUUUAAUGUUGGUACGCAGCGAUUUGUAAAUGAAUAACUCUUUUCGCUGUCACAUUUAUUUUUGACCUGAGCUCAGUCGAGAUCACCCGCUGAACUUAAGCAUAUCAGUAAGCGGAGGAAAAGAAACUAAAUAGGAUUCCCUUAGUAACGGCGAGUGAAA